rnacentral:tRNA from 1 species
GGGCCUGUAGUGUAGCUUGGAUAUCACGCGGGGCUUCGGACCCCGAAACUCCGGUUCGAAUCCGGGCAGGCUCG